GCCACGAUGCAGAAACCUUGAGGUUGGCGCCGGGCGUUUCCGUUUUUCGGGGUAACAGAACCGGUUUCGGUUGGGCCUUUCCAACCCAGCCCAAUUUAGAAACUGGCCACGGACCCCAAGAGAAUUUGGACUGUAUAAAUUAAAAACCAAAGCCAUUGCGAUGGCCCGGAUGAUCGGGGGAGGACGCAAAUGGGAUUUUUGCCCCCAGUGUUUUGAAUGUCAAAAGUGAAGGAAAUUCAAUCCAAGCGCGGGUAAACGGGCGGGGAGGUAAUUAUGACUUUCUUAAGGGUAGCCCAAAAUGCCUCGUCAUUUAAUUAGUGACGCGUAUGGAAUGGAUCAACAAAGAUUCCUUUCUGUCCCCUAUUUACUAUUCUAGGGAAAACCACAGCCCAGGGAACGGGCUUGGCAAAAUCAGCGGGGAAAGAAGACCCUGUUGAGCUUGACUCUAGUCUGACUCUGUGAAGAGACAUGAAAGGUGUAGCAUAGGUGGGAGAUUGUCAAUUUGCCAUCGUUCACGCGAUGGUCCGGUGAUCGCCAAUGAAAUACCACUACUUUGAUCGUUUCUUUUACUUAUUCGGUAAAGCGAAAAAAUUGUGGCCAAUUUGGCGGCGUUUAUGUCGCUGUUGGUCAUUGUUUUCAUGUUGGAUUGAAGCUUUGUUUACAGCCGUCGCUUUGUGUCUUCAUUUGGCGCAUUGUUGUACUGGGUUAUCCCAGUGUGUGAUGUGGUCACAAUGGAUGAUC
rnacentral:ncRNA from 1 species